CAUAGGCUUCGAGCGUUGUCCGGAUUUAUUGGGCGUAAAGAGUUCGUAGGCGGUCGAGUAAGUCGGGUGUGAAAAUUCUGGGCUCAACCCAGAGACGCAACCCGAUACUGCUUAACUUGAGUUCGAUAGGGGAGUGGGGAAUUCCUAGUGUAGCGGUGAAAUGCGCAGAUAUUAGGAGGAACACCGGUGGCGAAGGCGCCACUCUGGAUCGAUACUGACGCUGAGGAACGAAAGCAUGGGUAGCAAACAGGAUUAGAUACCCUGGUAGUCCAUGCGGUAAACGCUGGGCACUAGGUGUGGGUUUCUAUUAACGAAAUCCGCGCCCACUCUAACACCUUAAGUGCCCCGCCUGGGGAGUACUGUCUCAAGACUA
rnacentral:rRNA from 1 species